GAAAUGCGAUAAGUAAUGUGAAUUGCAGAAUUCAGUGAAUCAUCGAGUCUUUGAACGCACAUUGCGCCCCCUGGUAUUCCGGUGGGCAUGGCCUGGCCGAGCAGCCUCAUGGUGGUGUGGUCAUGAUGUUGAGCGACGGCACCGCGAUCAAGCGCAGUCGCAAGCGCGGCGCUAGCACGCAGCUAGUGGUGCAGCUGCCCGGCAACGGCGAGCAGAGCGGCGCGGUGGCGCAGGCGGCGCUAGCGCAGCACAUUGGCUUUGGUGAGGGUGACUACUUCGAGGCUGCGUUCUUCAUCGAUGCUUACGUGCACUU
rnacentral:misc_RNA from 1 species